rnacentral:misc_RNA from 1 species
AAAAAAAGAGUUGCAAGACUCGAAAACCAUCGCGAACAUACCUCUCGUCGUUGCUUCGGCGGGCUGCUCGUCAGGGCGCCCGCCGGAGGACCACCAAACUCUGUUUUCUUAGCGUAUCUCUGAGUGGACCACAAAAAAAAUGAAUCA